UGGGGUAUAGCCAAGCGGUAAGGCAGCGGUUUUUGGUAUCGCGAUCCCUGGUUCGAAUCCAGGUACCCCAGCCA
rnacentral:tRNA from 1 species